rnacentral:rRNA from 1 species
UACGAAGGGGGCUAGCGUUGCUCGGAAUGACUGGGCGUAAAGGGCGCGUAGGCGGCUGUUACAGUCAGAUGUGAAAUUCCUGGGCUCAACCUGGGGGCUGCAUUUGAUACGUGAUGGCUGGAGUGGGGAAGAGGGUCGUGGAAUUCCCAGUGUAGAGGUGAAAUGCGUAGAUAUCUGGAAGAACACCAAAGGCGAAGGCAGUGUCCUGGGUGGUCGCUGACGCUGAGAGGCGAAAGCCAGGGGAGCGAACGGG